rnacentral:rRNA from 1 species
UACGUAGGGGGCAAGCGUUGUCCGGAUUUAUUGGGCGUAAAGAGCGUGUAGGCGGCCAGGUAGGUCUGCUGUGAAAACUCGAGGCUCAACCUCGAGACGUCGGUGGAAACCGUAUGGCUAGAGUCCGGAAGAGGAGAGUGGAAUUCCUGGUGUAGCGGUGAAAUGCGCAGAUAUCAGGAAGAACACCCGCGGCGAAGGCGGCUCUCUGGGACGGUACUGACGCUGAGACGCGAAAGCGUGGGGAGCGAACAGG